rnacentral:rRNA from 1 species
UACGUAGGGUGCGAGCGUUGUCCGGAAUUAUUGGGCGUAAAGAGCUUGUAGGCGGUUUGUCGCGUCUGCCGUGAAAAUUCGAGGCUCAACCUCGAACUUGCGGUGGGUACGGGCAGACUAGAGUGUGGUAGGGGAGACUGGAAUUCCUGGUGUAGCGGUGAAAUGCGCAGAUAUCAGGAGGAACACCGGUGGCGAAGGCGGGUCUCUGGGACGGUACUGACGCUGAGACGCGAAAGCGUGGGGAGCGAACAGG